rnacentral:rRNA from 1 species
UACGAAGGGGGCUAGCGUUGCUCGGAAUUACUGGGCGUAAAGGGAGCGUAGGCGGACAUUUAAGUCAGGGGUGAAAUCCCGAGGCUCAACCUCGGAACUGCCUUUGAUACUGGAUGUCUUGAGUGUGAGAGAGGUGAGUGGAACUCCGAGUGUAGAGGUGAAAUUCGUAGAUAUUCGGAAGAACACCAGUGGCGAAGGCGACUCACUGGCUCAUUACUGACGCUGAGGCUCGAAAGCGUGGGGAGCAAACAGGAUUAGAUACCCCAGUAGUCC